GAUGAACGCUGGCGGCGUGCCUAAUACAUGCAAGUCGAGCGAACAGACGAGGAGCUUGCUACUCUGACGUUAGCGGCGGACGGGUGAGUAACAUGUGGAUAACCUACCUAUAAGACUGGGAUAACUUCGUGAAACCGGAGCUAAUACCGGAUAACAUAUUGAACCGCAUGGUUCAAUAGUGAAAGACGGUUUUGCUGUCACCUAUAGAUGGAUCCGCGCCGCAUUAGCUAGUUGGUAAGGUGACGGCUUACCAAGGCAACGAUGCGUAGCCGACCUGAGAGGGUGGUAGGCCACAUUGGAACUGAGACGCGGACCAGGCGCCUACGGGAGGCAGCAGUAGGGAAUCGUCGGCAAUGGGCGAAAGCCUGACGGAACAACGCCGCGUGAGUGAUGAAGGUCUUCGGAUCGUAAAACUCUGUUAUUAGGGAAAAACAAAUGUGUAAGGAAAUAUGCACGUCUUGACGGUUACUUAUCAGAGAGCCACGGAUAACUACGUG
rnacentral:rRNA from 1 species